GCCUACCGGGUUUCCCUUUCGGGUGCAGAAGAGAAACAGGUCAUUCCCUCCCUUCUUGGCCAAUUUUCUCACCUUCCUCCGUGGAAUGUCCUGGUCAUAGACAACUACAAAGCUAUAAAUACGUACAAGGUGCCAGCCACCCCACUUGCUGUCUUGAUUUGGACAACUACAAAGCUAUAAAUACAAGGUGUCUCUCAUCACUGCCAGCCACCCCACUUGCUGUCUUGAUUUAAAUUGCUUCCACAUUGUCCUUUUUUGCUGGUAUUCUCACCUUUUAUUCACUCAUUCCUUUCUGAGGAUCUGGAUAGCCACUGCAAGUCAGUGUUUUCUCUGUUUGUCCUUCCAUGUUUCUUUCUCUUCUGCUGCUUUAUAAAUAGUAUUUUGUUGGCUGCUUUUGAUGCAGUACAUCAGAAUUGGUGCAGCAGCCUGCCCUGUGAGGCUUUUUAGGGCUCCUGUGCCUUAAAACCAUCUUUAACUACAGGCUCUCUGUUUGUAGAUCCUGCCGGGUUUUAUUACUUCCUAUUGAUUGUGGCUGAGAGACUACUGAUGAAUAUCCUCUUAACUGCCUCUUGAAAAGUCUCUCUUAAUUGCAUCAGUGUCGUUUUCUGUGCUGGCAUGAUGGAGUGAGCAGCGGCUCUAAUUGUUAUUUCCUUUGCAUUUUGAUUAAUUUUUAUGGUGAAAAUUUGUCAUUUUAUUAUAGAUUUUUUUAAACAUGUAACAGUAAAAGGAAACUAUCCUGGCCCUUUGUAGGUACUGAAGAGUGGCCAUUCAUGGGGAAAAGUAAGAGGCCAUUCAUCAGUAAUCCUCCAACUACGGUCAGUAAGAAGGAAUAAAAUGGACAGAACUAGCAAACAGGAAUCUUUUAAUUAACAUGAGAGAAGAUAUUUGCUGAAUGGGAUAUAUUUCCACCUCCACAGUGAGGGUCCCAUCCCAUCCUAUCGGCCACAGGAAGCAGGUGAUCAUAACAAGCGCGCUUGGCCACCAGCCACCAGCCUCUUCCUGCCUGCCGUGGUGGACACUACUGCAGCCCCACGUUACACCCACGCAUGUACAAGUGGAUUCUAAA
rnacentral:lncRNA from 1 species